GUGCAGCAGUCGCGAAACCUCCGCAAUGCGGGAAACCGUGACGGGGUCACCCCGAGUGCCACCCGAUGAGGGUGGCUUUUCCCCGGUCUAAAAAGCCGGGGGCAAUAAGCGGGGGGCAAGUCUGGUGUCAGCCGCCGCGGUAAUACCAGCCCCGCGAGUGGUCGGGACGUUUAUUGGGCCUAAAGCGUCCGUAGCCGGCUCGGUAAGUCCCUCCUUAAAUCCACGGGCUCAACCCGUGGGCUGGGAGGGAUACUGCCGGGCUAGGGGGCGGGAGAGGCCGAGGGUACUCCCGGGGUAGGGGCGAAAUCCGUUAAUCCCGGGAGGACCACCAGUGGCGAAGGCGCUCGGCUGGAACGCGCCCGACGGUGAGGGACGAAAGC
rnacentral:rRNA from 1 species